UGCCACCAUGAAAGGGGAUCAGAG
rnacentral:piRNA from 1 species